GAUGAAUGCUCGCUACAGGCUUAACACAUGCAAGUCGAGGGGAAACGACAUCGAAAGCUUGCUUUUGAUGGGCGUCGACCGGCGCACGGGUGAGUAACGCGUAUCCAACCUGCCCAUCACUUGGGAAUAACCUUGCGAAAGUAAGACUAAUACCCAAUGAUAUCCCACGAAGGCAUCGGAAUGGGAUUAAAGAUUUAUCGGUGAUGGAUGGGGAUGCGUCUGAUUAGCUUGUUGGCGGGGUAACGGCCCACCAAGGCAACGAUCAGUAGGGGUUCUGAGAGGAAGGUCCCCCACAUUGGAACUGAGACACGGUCCAAACUCCUACGGGAGGCAGCAGUGAGGAAUAUUGGUCAAUGGGCGAGAGCCUGAACCAGCCAAGUAGCGUGCAGGAAGACGGCCCUAUGGGUUGUAAACUGCUUUUAUAAGGGAAUAAAGUGGGUCACGUGUGACUUUUUGCAUGUACCUUAUGAAUAAGGACCGGCUAAUUCCGUG
rnacentral:rRNA from 1 species